GAAUUUUAUAUAAUUAUUAUUUGAUUUUUUAAUUUUUAUAUUUGUUUAAAUUAUGAUUAUAUUUAGUUGGGAGGAUUGUUAAAUUUUUUAAACUUUAAUUAAUAAAUUACAUAAAUUAAUGUAUUAGAGAAUGAUUAUUUUAAUUAAUUAAGAAUUAAUUACCUUAGGGAUAACAGCGUGAUAUUUUUGGUGAGAUCAUAUUAAUAAAAAUGUUUGC
rnacentral:rRNA from 1 species